rnacentral:rRNA from 1 species
AUGCCUUACACAUGCAAGUCGAACGGCAGCAUGAUCUAGCUUGCUAGAUUGAUGGCGAGUGGCGAACGGGUGAGUAAUACAUCGGAACGUGCCCUGUAGUGAGGGAUAUCAAGUCGAAAGAUUAGCUAAUACCGCAUACGACCUGAGGGUGAAAGUGGGGGACCGCAAGGCCUCAUGCUAUAGGAGCGGCCGAUGUCUGAUUAGCUAGUUGGUGGGGUAAAGGCCCACCAAGGCGACGAUCAGUAGCUGGUCUGAGAGGGCGAUCAGCCACACUGGGACUGAGACACGGCCCAGACUCCUACGGGAGGCAGCAGUGGGGAAUUUUGGACAAUGGGCGAAAGCCUGAUCCAGCAAUGCCGCGUGUGUGAAGAAGGCCUUCGGGUUGUAAAGCACUUUUGUCCGGAAAGAAAUGGCUCUGGUUAAUACCUGGGGUCGAUGACGGUACCGGAAGAAUAAGGACCGGCUAACUACGUGCCAGCAGCCGCGGUAAUACGUAGGGUCCAAGCGUUAAUCGGAAUUACUGGGCGUAAAGCGUGCGCAGGCGGUUGUGCAACGACCGAUGUGAAAUCCCCGAGCUUAACUUGGGAAUUGCAUUGGUGACUGCACGGCUAGAGUGUGUCAGAGGGGGGUAGAAUUCCACGUGUAGCAGUGAAAUGCGUAGAGAUGUGGAGGAAUACCGAUGGCGAAGGCAGCCCCCUGGGAUAACACUGACGCUCAUGCACGAAAGCGUGGGGAGCAAACAGGAUUAGAUACCCUGGUAGUCCACGCCCUAAACGAUGUCAACUAGUUGUUGGGGAUUCAUUUCCUUAGUAACGUAGCUAACGCGUGAAGUUGACCGCCUGGGGAGUACGGUCGCAAGAUUAAAACUCAAAGGAAUUGACGGGGACCCGCACAAGCGGUGGAUGAUGUGGAUUAAUUCGAUGCAACGCGAACAACCUUACCUACCCUUGACAU